AACAAACAAGGGGUGCGGAACGGAAAUGCUCGCUUGGGCCUUAGGCCCAAAUAUUCAACACAACCAAAAUGCUCACACAGGAACAAAUCUACUUCGUGCCGCUCACGAGAGUUGAGGCAAUGCUGGAGAAGAGCUUCUGCAACGCGGGACUUCUCCAUCUUAGAGGCUCUUCCAUAAUCGUCUGCUCGCAUCACUUCGGCCCGAACAAGGAGGAACGAUCCAGUCCAAUGGUGCGUUCAUCCUCACAACCUCGCGUUCACCACAUACGACUCAGUGAUUCAAGAUUUGCAUCGCUCGAUCUUGUUCGUGAUCGUGCGUGCAACCAAAGGGAAGCAAUAUUGAAAUCAAAAAAAGAGAAUUCACUGGAUUUUGCAAGUGUCGGAUCGAGCUUUUGAUUUCCGGUAUCUUCUUCUUCUCGAGAUCUCCCGCUACUGCUACAUCGCCGUCGGUUGAUUGAGUGCGGUCGUGUGAACGUCGAAGGAAGAACUUCUGAGAUUCGAAGGGUGAGCUUUCGAGGGAAAACGGAGGGUGAAGGAUUGCGUGAUGUUUUCCGAUUCCAGAGGGAAUGACGAGAAUGCGAUUAUCCGGUGAGAUUGCGAGGGAGAAGAGAACGAGAGCCCUGCGAAUCUGAGAAAAAGGAAUAAAGAAAAAAAAACCAAGUAAAUCACCGUGUUGGCUUUUUAUACGUUCUUUAUCUGUUAGAUUCGUUAGCCUCUGUUAGUUCCUCUCAAUCCAAUUCUGUUAAACGUUUCUUCACACCGUGAAUUAGUUUGUUAAACGGUAAUUAGAAAUCGGUUUGCCGCCCUUGGUUUGUGCGUUUCGUGUUUUCAAGUUAGCGGCUUAAGUAGCAGCUUUUAUGUGGCUUCUUGGAAGUAGCUUUGGAGCUUUUGGUUUUCGUGCGCUUUCGAGAACUAGUUUAGCUUCUCUACGCAGCUGCCGUUUGGCUUAGCUUUUGGCUGAUGUUUUGUUUUCAACUUCGCAGCUUUUUCCGUUGGCUUUAGAUUGAUUUGAUGUUGGUUCAUGCAGCGUUUUCUGUUUCGCCGUUCUAUUUGCUGCUGUGAGCAGCCGCUGCGUUUCGUUACCAGAUUUGUGUUUUGGCAUUGUCGGUGUUUCACUAUUGCGGUUUGUUGUCAUGGCUCGCGCAGUUGGCUACAGCAGUGUGCCGUUAAGCUUUGGUUAUUGCUGUUUUACGUUUGUCGUCAUUUGCUCAGCUUGCACUUUGCAUUUUCUCUUUGAACCAACACCGUCCUGCAGCUUUUUGCGUUUUGAUGCUGCUGUUCACAUGCUUGUUGUUCACGUCACUCACUUUUGUCCUAUGCAGAAAGUUUGGAUUAUGGAUGGGAAUUAAUGGGUUUACAAUUGGAUAUGGGCCAAAGUGUGGGUUGAACGGAUUUGGAUUUAAAUGAAAUGGGAUUGGUUUGAAAAUUUGGAUAUGAAUUGUAAUUGGAUACUUGGAUUGUGGAAUGGAUUAAUGGACAUGGGCCUUAAUACAAUGUAGAAA